GGGCCCUUAGCUCAGUUGGUUAGAGCGUCCGACUCAUAAUCGGCAGGUCGUAGGUUCAAAGUCCUACAGGGCCCA
rnacentral:tRNA from 1 species